rnacentral:rRNA from 1 species
AGUACCCGCUGAACUUAAGCAUAUUAUUAAGCGGAGGAAAAGAAACUAACUAGGAUUCCCUCAGUAGCUGCGAGCGAACAGGGAAGAGCCCAGCACCGAAUCUCGCGGCCGAUACCGGGCGCCGGGAAAUGUGGUGUUAGGGAGGAUCCGUCUAUCCCGAGGUCGUGCGGUGCGUCCAAGUCCUUCUUGAACGGGGCCACAGCCCAUAGAGGGUGCCAGGCCCGUAGCGACCGCUGCCGAUCGCGGGAGGAUCCCUCCUCAGAGUCGGGUUGCUUGAGAGUGCAGCCCUAAGUGGGUGGUAAACUCCAUCUAAGGCUAAAUAUGACCACGAGACCGAUAGCGAACAAGUACCGUGAGGGAAAGUUGAAAAGCACUUUGAAGAGAGAGUUCAAGAGUACGUGAAACCGUUCAGGGGUAAACCUGAGAAACCCGAAAGGUCGAAAGGGGAAAUUCAUUCGCGUAUCGGCCGUCGGCGUGGAGCGUGUCGAGUGACGGAUGGCGUACGCGCCGUUCGCACCUUCCGUUCUUCGAACCGGCGUCGAACGCGUGCACUUUUCCCCUAGUAGGACGUCGCGAUCCGUUGGGUGUCGGUCUAAGACUCUCGUGGUGGAGCCCGUACGGUCGCUUUACGGCGUGUACCGUGCGGACCCACGGUGUUCCGGCCGACUCGCUCGACGGUAUACAAAUGGCGUGGGGCCGCUAUUCGCCUAUUAUUCUACUAUAAUAGGUAGUUAGCGUUCGGCACGUGGCAAGCGCGUUCGGCGUCUGACGGCGAUCGGACCUCGUGCCGGUCCUGUCCCCGAACGACUGUUGGCCACGUAGUUCUCGAACAGACCUCACGUACGUGUGACUUCUCGUCGCGCGUACAUAAACGCCGAUCUGCGACGCUAUAGCUUUGGGUACUUUCAGGACCCGUCUUGAAACACGG